rnacentral:lncRNA from 1 species
ACCCUUUGUAUAGCCUAAUGUCAUCAAAAGACUAGAUAGGGACGGAUAUUUACCUUUUUCUUUUUGAAAAUCGAGGUCCUUGCAUAGAGGGGAAGAAGAUCUACACUUUUCCCUUCAACUGGCAGCGCAACUGGAAUUCCCUUCCCUUCCUUUUUUUCUUCUUCUUCCUCUUCUUUUCUUCCUUUCUUUUCCUCUUCUUUUUCUUCUCUCUGUCCGUCUGAGACUCCCCCCUCUCUGUUUCAAUCCAACGCCUCA